GUCCACCCCCUCUCCCAAGCCGCCCAGAGAGGCGGGGUCCAGCGUCACUGCCUUUAGAUCCUGGGACAGGAUGAGGACUGGGUGGGCCGAGGCUGCGUCCAGGGUCACAGGGGCUGUGUGACGAGGAGGAGGAGAAAGAGGGGGCAGCCCCAGGUCAAGUCGUCCAGCCCCCUUCCUCCGAGCCUCCCCCUACGGUCCCUCCGCCCCCUCACGGCCGGAAAGAGGCUUUCUCUUCCCGGUCUCGGCCUUCUGGGCCCCAGAGGAGCCCCGGGCCACGCCCCUCCUCCACGAAGUGAAUGGCCAAAUUUCACAGCGCGUCGCUGUUGCGGGCGUGGAGAGGAGCGCCCCACUGGGGGGGGUGGGAGAUUUCAACACCCAAAGAUGAGACCGUCUCCUCCUUCCCGGUUUCCCGUGGUCCCUGAUUUCCCAUAUCCAAAACAAGACUUGGGGCCAGUGUAAGAAUGUCGAGGAUCAGACUUCCGAGCGCGAGCCGUUUUCCAAAGUGGAGUCCCCAAACAGGGAUGAGUAACACAGGAGGAGGAACAGCCAGAACCGCCCCCCACACGCUUUACGAGGAUUCGGACGCCGAGUCACAGUGUGGCAGCGCUGGCAGGGCCCCAAUCCGCCCUCCACGCCGCACACUGUUCUAGCAAGCAAAUAUUUUUAAUUUGAUUAGAAAUCAAAUGAACAUUGAUAUUUGAAGGAGGCUGGGCAAGCCGGCAGAAAGGAUGAGAAUGCUCAGGUGAACGCCACUGGAGAGUUCCAAACAACUGUCACCAAACAGAAAUACUGUGCCCGGAGCCCAGCAGAGCUCUUGUAACUCCUCACUCUGGGAACCGUGUUUUAAUAAAGGUACCUACAGACUGGACUGCAUGGAGGGGAGGCCGCUGGGAUGCAAACUGCUUUAAAAUCCCGUUUCGGGAGGCGUGGGUGAGGAUCUGGUGUUGGCCCUGAGGGACUCAGGAGUACAGGAGAGCCGCCUUCCGAACGCUGCAGGUCUGCGGUGGAUCUUGUCCCUCCUGUGCACACUGUGGUGGGCUGUACCACGCCCGCCCCAGGUUUCUAUGUUGAGCCCUGAGCCCCGGUACCCCCGAGUGUGACUGUGCAUAGGGCCUCUAGGGAAGUGAUUGAGUUAAAAUAAGGCCGCUGGGGUGGGCUCCAAUGCAGUCUAACGCGUGUUUUUACAGGAGGACACAGAGAGGCACCAGGGAAAUUCCAGCAAGUGAGGAGGACGCAGCAAGAAGACGGUCACCCGCAAGCCAGGGAGAGAGGCCUCAGGACAAGCAGUCUUGGACUUCAUCCUCCAGCUGUGAGAAAACAAAGUUCUGCUGCUAAAGCGCCCCAGCGUGUGGCGCUGUGUUAUGGUGGUCCUGGCCGGCAGAUGAACUCCCACCUCGCACACCCCGAUCUGAGUUCCCAGCUCCUCACAGGGGGUCUCGGACCGCUCAGGCCUCCAACCGGACGCAGCAGCAGCAGCGCUCUGGUCCCCUCCGUUCCCAACUCCACAGCGCGGCCCGGCAGUCCUCCCGUGGGGACGUGAGCUGGCUCGGCCCCCGGACUGCACUUUGGCAAUAUCUACUAAAAUAUAUUUGUUAUAUGUACUAAAAUUCUUUAAAAAUGCACAUAAAACCUUUUGACCCAGCAAUUCCAUGUCUAAAAAGUUGCCCUCAGGAAAUAAUCAAAAGCAUCUAUUCAGAGAAAAGGGAUGCGGAGGACACUUUAUUUGUUCGUUAUGGUGAAUACUUAUUACUGCGUGUCAGGCGCAGUUCUAGGCACUGCCAUCACGGGGAACAGGCUGGACAGACACUCCGCCCACUGAGCGGCGCCUGCGAUAAGCCACCUCCCCACAUGGGCCAUGGGCCGGAAGGGAAUAGACGUCAUGGAGAUAAAGCAGCAAAGGUGAAAGUCAUCGACUUGAAGGCAGGUAACAGCAAGACGUUGACAGCUGUUACUGCUGGUCGGUGGGAUCAUGGGUAAUUAUUUUCUUUUAUACUUUUCUCUUUCAAGUAUUAUUACAAUGAACACACUUGCUCUUACAGUGAGAAAAAAACCCACAGUAAAUAUUACUUAAAAAACCCACACCUUCAAUUGGCCCCAUUUUCUACAGAAUGAAGUCCAAACUCCCCUCCCGGGAUCUCCUGUCUUCCACCUAAACUUCUGUUCCUCAAGACUGUCUUUCCCAGCUGGCCUGAUACUCUGAGACCCAGAUUUGCCAAGUACGGUUGCCAGAUUCAGCAAAUAAAAGUACAGGAUGCCCUGUUAAAUAUGAAUUUCAGAUAAACAAUGAAUACAAUAUUUGAGACACAUUGCAGAAUUAUUUGUUGUACAUCUGAAAUUGCAGUUUACUGAGAAGCCUAUAUUUUAUCUGGCAAAGCUACAAGUGAUCCUCCUUCCCCAUGUGCUGGAAUAAUCUCUUUUCCAUCUUCCCCAAUUUUUCCAAGUAACCAGCGGGUGGGGAGGAGGGGUGAGUGUGGGUGGGGACGAAAGACAAACCUAUCAAAUCUUAUGUUAGUAUUAUGUAAGAGAUACUGGGGGUGGGCGCAGGGGGUGUGAGGAAGGGGCAUACUCAAAAGGGCUUUUUCUUGACCUUGGGUUGUGACUUUCCUGUAAAGAUUGUACCUUUAAUUUGAGCACCCUGACCCAGGAGUCAGGUACAGGUGAAUAUCCAAGAUCCUCUUUAGCAAGGAAACUCUAUUUUAGUUAUGCAGGAAUUUUUUUGUUUUUGUUUUUGUUUUUUGAGACAGAGUCUCGCUUUGUU